ensembl:lncRNA
CGCGGUCCAAAGAAUAAGAGAUUGUUCAUAUAGGAGAGGAAGCCGGGACAUCUUCCUACACCACGCAUGAAUAAUGGAAUAAGGAGGAAACAAAGCCUUUCUUGGACUCCACCAGGAGCCUGCUGCACAAGCCCGCCAUGAUCCUUAAAACAUUUGUUUUAACGACUGAUAUUUUGAACAGCGACCAGUUGAGCCCAUCGUCAGAUGCUAUGUGACCGCACCAGCAGACAGACAUGCAGGAGGAUCAUAAUUAGCUGGAGCCAGUCCGGCGGGCCUGAAAGCUGUCGCAGCAGAAGGACAAUUAGAGAGAAUCCUUUGAACACUCCACUCUGGGCUAUGAGGGAGAGGCGUCACAGACAAACAAAUUGAGGGAGCCAUUAGUUACUCAUAUGCAGGUGCUAACAAUGACAGCAAUGAAGUAAUAGUCAACAAGCCUGCCGUGCAAGACAGUCUAAGGAUAGCAGGGAGUCCUUAUUUGACUGCCAUAUCAUACUCUUGGGUUCUCAUACUCUUUUAAAGAUGCCAAUUAGGGUAUUUUAACCAAAUGAUGUCCUGAGACUAGGCAACACUAAUCUGUCUGAAACUGCAGGACAAAUAAAG